AGAGUUGUAUCCUGGCUCAGAACGAACGCUGGCGGCAGGCUUAACACAUGCAAGUCGAACGCUCCGCAAGGAGAGUGGCAGACGGGUGAGUAACGCGUGGGAAUCUACCCAAUUCUACGGAACAACAGUUGGAAACGACUGCUAAUACCGUAUACGCCCUACGGGGGAAAGAUUUAUCGGAAUUGGAUGAGCCCGCGUAAGAUUAGCUAGUUGGUGAGGUAAUGGCUCACCAAGGCGACGAUCUUUAGCUGGUCUGAGAGGAUGAUCAGCCACACUGGGACUGAGACACGGCCCAGACUCCUACGGGAGGCAGCAGUGGGGAAUAUUGGACAAUGGGCGCAAGCCUGAUCCAGCCAUGCCGCGUGAGUGAAGAAGGCCUUCUGGGUUGUAAACUGCUUUUAUCUGGGAAGAAAACGCCCCUGCGGGGGUAACUGACGGUACCAGAUGAAUAAGCACCGGCUAACUCCGUGCCAGCAGCCGCGGUAAUACGGAGGGUGCAAGCGUUGUCCGGAUUUAUUGGGUUUAAAGGGUGCGUAGGCGGCCUGUUAAGUCAGGGGUGAAAGACGGUGGCUCAACCAUCGCAGUGCCCUUGAUACUGAUGGGCUUGAUUUCAGUUGAGGUAGGCGGAAUGUGACAAGUAGCGGUGAAAUGCAUAGAUAUGUCACAGAACACCGAUUGCGAAGGCAGCUUACUAAAGUGAUAAUGACGCUGAGGCACGAAAGCGUGGGGAUCAAACAGGAUUAGAUACCCUGGUAGUCCACGCCCUAAACGAUGAACACUCGAUGUUAGCGAUAUACAGUUAGCGUCUAAGCGAAAGCGUUAAGUGUUCCACCUGGGGAGUACGCCCGCNAGGGUGAAACUCAAAGGAAUUGANGGGGGCCCGCACAAGCNGANNAGCAUGUNG
rnacentral:rRNA from 1 species